UACGGAGGGUGCGAGCGUUGUUCGGAAUUACUGGGCGUAAAGCGCACGUAGGCGGGUUGUUAAGUCAGGGGUGAAAUCCUGGAGCUCAACUCCAGAACUGCCUUUGAUACUGGCAACCUAGAGACUGGAAGAGGUUAGUGGAAUUCCCAGUGUAGAGGUGAAAUUCGUAGAUAUUGGGAAGAACACCAGUGGCGAAGGCGGCUAACUGGUCCAGCACUGACGCUGAGGUGCGAAAGCGUGGGGAGCAAACAGG
rnacentral:rRNA from 1 species